rnacentral:rRNA from 1 species
AACGAACGCUGGCGGCGCGUCUUAAGCAUGCAAGUCGGACGGCAAGGCGGGAGCUUGCUCCUGCCCUAGAGUGGCGGACUGGUGAGUAACACGUGGGUGACAUACCCUCUGGUUGGGGAUAGCCGGUAGAAAUACCGGGUAAUACCGAAUCCGAACGCCCAGGCUAGAGCGGUGCGAGGAAAGGAGCUACGGCUUCGCCGGCGGAUGGGCCCGCGGCCCAUUAGCUAGUUGGAGUGGUAAAGGCACACCAAGGCAAUGAUGGGUAUCCGGCCUGAGAGGGUGAUCGGACACAUUGGGACUGAGAUACGGCCCAGACUCCUACGGGAGGCAGCAGCUAAGAAUAUUCCGCAAUGGACGAAAGUCUGACGGAGCGACGCCGCGUGGAUGAGGAAGGCCGGAAGGUUGUAAAAUCCUUUUGGGACUGAAGAAUAAGCAGUGCAGGGAAUGGCAUUGUGGUGACGGUAGGUCCUGAAUAAGCAACGGCUAAUUACGUGCCAGCCGCCGCGGUAAUAC